UACGGGGGGGUAAGGCGUUGUCCGGAAUUAUUGGGCGUAAAGGAGCUACGUAGGUGGGCUUGGUCACGUCGGGUGUAAAAGCUUGGGGCGUUAAACUCCCGAGGUCACUGACAUUCGAUACGGGCUGGCUAGAGGUAGGUAGGGGAGAACGGAAUUCCUGGUGUAGCGGUGAAAUGCGCGAUAUAGGAGGAACACCGGUGGCGAAGGCGGUCUCUGGGCCUUACCUGACGCUGAGGAGCGAAAGCGUGGGGAGCGAACAGG
rnacentral:rRNA from 1 species